GACGAACGCUGGCGGCGCGCCUAACACAUGCAAGUCGAACGAGAGAUGAGGAGCUUGCUCUUCAAAUCGAGCGGCGAACGGGUGAGUAACGCGUGAGGAACCUGCCUCAAAGAGGGGGACAACAGUUGGAAACGACUGCUAAUACCGCAUAAGCCCACGGCUCGGCAUCGAGCAGAGGGAAAAGGAGCAAUCCGCUUUGAGAUGGCCUCGCGUCCGAUUAGCUAGUUGGUGAGGUAACGGCCCACCAAGGCGACGAUCGGUAGCCGGACUGAGAGGUUGAACGGCCACAUUGGGACUGAGACACGGCCCAGACUCCUACGGGAGGCAGCAGUGGGGAAUAUUGCACAAUGGGGGAAACCCUGAUGCAGCGACGCCGCGUGGAGGAAGAAGGUCUUCGGAUUGUAAACUCCUGUUGUUGAGGAAGAUAAUGACGGUACUCAACAAGGAAGUGACGGCUAACUACGUGCCAGCGGCCGCGGUAAAACGUAGGUCACAAGCGUUGUCCGGAAUUACUGGGUGUAAAGGGAGCGCAGGCGGGAGAACAAGUUGGAAGUGAAAUCCAUGGGCUCAACCCAUGAACUGCUUUCAAAACUGUUUUUCUUGAGUAGUGCAGAGGUAGGCGGAAUUCCCGGUGUAGCGGUGGAAUGCGUAGAUAUCGGGAGGAACACCAGUGGCGAAGGCGGCCUACUGGGCACCAACUGACGCUGAGGCUCGAAAGUGUGGGUAGCAAACAGGAUUAGAUACCCUGGUAGUCCACACCGUAAACGAUGAUUACUAGGUGUUGGAGGAUUGACCCCUUCAGUGCCGCAGUUAACACAAUAAGUAAUCCACCUGGGGAGUACGACCGCAAGGUUGAAACUCAAAGGAAUUGACGGGGGCCCGCACAAGCAGUGGAGUAUGUGGUUUAAUUCGACGCAACGCGAAGAACCUUACCAAGUCUUGACAUCCCUUGACGAUGCUGGAAACAGUAUUUCUCUUCGGAGCAAGGAGACAGGUGGUGCAUGGUUGUCGUCAGCUCGUGUCGUGAGAUGUUGGGUUAAGUCCCGCAACGAGCGCAACCCUUAUGGUCAGUUACUACGCAAGAGGACUCUGGCCAGACUGCCGUUGACAAAACGGAGGAAGGUGGGGAUGACGUCAAAUCAUCAUGCCCUUUAUGACUUGGGCUACACACGUACUACAAUGGCGUUAAACAAAGAGAAGCAAGACCGCGAGGUGGAGCAAAACUCAGAAACAACGUCCCAGUUCGGACUGCAGGCUGCAACUCGCCUGCACGAAGUCGGAAUUGCUAGUAAUCGUGGAUCAGCAUGCCACGGUGAAUACGUUCCCGGGCCUU
rnacentral:rRNA from 1 species